rnacentral:rRNA from 1 species
GACGUAGGGCGCGAGCGUUGUCCGGAUUUAUUGGGCGUAAAGAGCUCGUAGGCGGCUUGUUACGUCGACUGUGAAAACCCGCGGCUCAACUGCGGGCCUGCAGUCGAUACGGGCAGGCUAGAGUUCGGUAGGGGAGACUGGAAUUCCUGGUGUAGCGGUGAAAUGCGCAGAUAUCGGAAGGAACAUCAGUGGCGAAGGCGACUUCCUGGACCAAUACUGACGCUGAGGCACGAAAGCGUGGGGGAGCAAACAGG